rnacentral:pre_miRNA from 1 species
UAGCGUGGGGAGGUUAGCUUCUCGUGUUUUGGUUUCCAGUAGCUCGCCCCACCACGAUACU